CUUAUAGAAUUAUCCCCUUGGUGUCACCAUCAACUACUAGCAGCUACUCUGUGCAUUUGUUGAAAUACAGGGUGUCUCUUUGAUCUGAAUAGUCUGUCUGAAUUUGGGGAAAAGGAAGAAUAAAAAGAAUACCAGCGAAUGCAUCUGGGAGAUGUAGCUGCUCCCAUGUUAUGAAAUAUGGAUGCGGAGUUUGCAGCAAUGGUUUAUGCUGCUGAUUGCAAGCACAGGGUCCAAAUUGUGUCAGGACUUGUAUUUCAUUAUACUUCAU